rnacentral:rRNA from 1 species
CGGGGCGAGUAAUGUCUGGGAAACUGCCUGAUGGAGGGGGAUAACUGCUGGAAACGGUAGCUAAUACCGCAUAACGUCGCAAGACCAAAGAGGGGGACCUUCGGGCCUCUUGCCAUCGGAUGUGCCCAGAUGGGAUUAGCUAGUAGGUGGGGUAACGGCUCACCUAGGCGACGAUCCCUAGCUGGUCUGAGAGGAUGACCAGCCACACUGGAACUGAGACACGGUCCAG